UCCAGUGAUUCACCAUGACCAUGUGACACAGUAAAGUUUCACAGGGCUGAAGAGAGCUUGGGUUAUUUUUGGUCCUGCCUCUACUUGUCUGAUGGAGAUUCCCUCAAGGUGAAUUUCUCUUUAGUAAUUCUCCCUUUUCUCUGAUUCUACAUAAAUGGUAGCUUUUGAUACUUUUUUUGCAGACGAUCUCACACACUGAGUUUAAGAGACUUCUUCCUUAGUUCCCUCAUGAAGUUUUUGUUUUGCAUUCUGCUUGGGUCGAUCUACUGACCCACAGGCCUUACGAGCUGGUUAGCUAGUCCUAGCUCCUUACAUGUCUGCCUCAUGAGACGGGGUUGCCGUGUGAGCGGUCACACUUCUCUGUGAAAGCGUGAACAAACAGACACGGUGCUUCAUGAAGCACCGUGCUCAUUUACCAGCACAAAAUGUUUUAUAGUGCAAAGUCUAAUAUGAGAAGUGCCUGCCAGGAACAUCACCUGCCUUGACGCGACUGUGCGGAGAACACAUAAACUCAAAGCACCGUGUACCUCAUCGCUUGGGCGGUUUCACCUUCGCUUCAUCAAUUUUUCAGAAACUUCCAGCAGAUGGCACCAAUAAAUACUGCCUUCGGACUGAAUUGGAAACUGGGUCCUGAUUGCUCCCGUUUGUGUGUGCACUGUCGACUCAGAGGCCUUGCACAGACACGGAAUCCUCUGAUCCUGGAACAGUCUUAGGAUACGAGCCCAGCAACUACCAUCCUGUGGAUAAAGAGAAAGUGGUUCCCUCAA